GUGCUCACUUCGGCAGCACAUACACUAAAAUUGGAAUGACACAGAGAAGAUUAGCAUGGCCCCUGCUCAAGGAUGACACUCAAAUUCGUGAAGUGUUCCAUAUUUUU
rnacentral:snRNA from 1 species